GCAGCUUUUAAGUGGACUUGACCAUUGCCACAAUCGGGGUGUUCUGCAUCGGGACAUUAAGGGUUCUAAUCUUCUCAUUGACAAUCAUGGCACUUUAAAGAUUGCAGAUUUUGGGUUGGCAAACUUUUUCGAUAACCAGCAAAGUGUUCCAUUAACAAGCCGUGUUGUGACUCUUUGGUAUCGACCACCAGAGCUCUUACUUGGAGCAAGUCAUUAUGGAACUGCAGUAGACUUGUGGAGUACUGGCUGCAUUCUCGGAGAAUUAUAUGUUGCCAAGCCCAUAAUGCCCGGUAGGACAGAGGUGGAACAACUACAUAAGAUCUUUAAGCUUUGUGGUUCACCAACUGAGGAUUAUUGGAAGAAAACAAAACUAUCUUAUUCAGCAGUAUUUAAACCUAUACAGCCUUACAAGCGGUCUGUUGGCGAAAGAUUUAAGGAGCUUCCUCCAUCUGCCGUGGGGUUACUGGAGACAUUACUUUCUAUAGAUCCUGCACUUAGAGGAACCGCAGUUGGGGCUCUUGAGAGUGAGUUCUUCACCACAAAGCCAUUUGCUUGUGAUCCUUCAAGU
rnacentral:misc_RNA from 1 species